UACGAAGGACCCGAGCGUUAUCCGGAUUUAUUGGGUUUAAAGGGUGCGUAGGCGGACUUUCAAGUCAGUGGUGAAAGCCCAUCGCUCAACGAUGGAAUUGCCAUUGAUACUGUUGGUCUUGAGUACGGUUGAAGUGGGCGGAAUGUGUCAUGUAGCGGUGAAAUGCUUAGAUAUGACACAGAACACCUAUUGCGAAGGCAGCUCGCUAAGCCGUAACUGACGCUGAGGCACGAAAGUGUGGGUAGCAAAC
rnacentral:rRNA from 1 species